rnacentral:rRNA from 1 species
UACAGAGGUGGCAAGCGUUGUUCGGAAUUACUGGGCGUAAAGGGCGAGUAGGUGGCCAUCUAAGUCAGACGUGAAAUCCCCCGGCUUAACCUGGGAACUGCGUCUGAUACUGGACGGCUUGAGUAUGGGAGAGGAACGUAGAAUUCCAGGUGUAGCGGUGAAAUGCGUAGAUAUCAUGAGGAAGACCAGUGGCGAAGGCGGGUCUCUGGACAGUUCCUGACACUGAGGCACGAAGGCCAGGGGAGCAAACGGG